rnacentral:lncRNA from 1 species
UGGCUUAAGCUCUCAUCUCCCUGCCACGUGUUGGGAACCCAGGGCCUACUGAAGAAGUGAUUAGUGCACCUGAGCAGGAUAGGCAGCCUGAGCCAACCCUCCACCCUUCAGCUGCGACAGGGCCUUGCGGAUGGUGUUUAGCUCCUGGAUCGUGGCUCCUCGGGCUGCCAGCAGCUUGGAGCCAAAUUCCCAACUCUAUUUAAGACACUACACCUUCCCAGCUCCACUGCACCCGCGUUGGUAAGUGAGGAUAGGCGAAGACCAGGCUCGACUCCUUCCGGAACCAAGUGGAGCUGACAUCACGUCCGGAAUUGGCCAACCGCCAGGUGACCGGAAGUGACGUCUCCCGAGGCUGAGCCUGUGAUCUUCUCGAGGGAAAUGUUGUCGUGUAGUGCAAGAUGUCGCAAGAUUAAGAGGUUGCUGUCGCCUUGAUCGGUCUCUGUCCGGGCCAGGAACGACUUCCAAGGACCAUUUAUUUGCUUGAGACGCAAACUCACCUUUCCGCAGCUUCUGGCGCUGGAGACCGGAAGUGCUCUCUGUGGGUGGGGAUUAAUCCGGAAGUGGCUGGUCUGAGGUCUCCCUAGAGACCGAGAGCCUGGUUUAG